rnacentral:rRNA from 1 species
UCCCAGACUCCUACGGGAGGCAGCAGUGAGGAAUAUUGGUCAAUGGGCUUACGCCUGAACCAGCCAAGUCGCGUGAGGGAAGACUGCCCUAUGGGUUGUAAACCUCUUUUGUCAGGGAGCAAUUGGCGCUACGUGUAGCGUUAUCGAGAGUACCUGAAGAAAAAGCAUCGGCUAACUCCGUGCCAACAGCCGCGGUAAUACGGAGGAUGCGAGCGUUAUCCGGAUUUAUUGGGUUUAAAGGGUGCGUAGGCGGAAUGCCAGGUCAGCGGUAAAACCGCGGGGCUCAACCUCGCUCCGCCGUUGAAGCUGGCAGUCUUGAGUGGGCGAGAAGUAUGCGGAAUGCGUGGUGUAGCGGUGAAAUGCAUAGAUAUCACGCAGAACUCCGAUUGCGAAGGCAGCAUACCGGCGCCCGACUGACGCUGAGGCACGAAAGCGUGGGUAUCGAACAGGAUUAGAUACCCGAGUAGG